rnacentral:rRNA from 1 species
AUUGAACGCUGGCGGCAGGCCUAACACAUGCAAGUCGAACGGUAACAGGAAGAAGCUUGCUUCUUUGCUGACGAGUGGCGGACGGGUGAGUAAUGUCUGGGAAACUGCCUGAUGGAGGGGGAUAACUACUGGAAACGGUAGCUAAUACCGCAUAACGUCGCAAGACCAAAGAGGGGGACCUUCGGGCCUCUUGCCAUCGGAUGUGCCCAGAUGGGAUUAGCUAGUAGGUGGGGUAACGGCUCACCUAGGCGACGAUCCCUAGCUGGUCUGAGAGGAUGACCAGCCACACUGGAACUAAGACACGGUCCAGACUCCUACGGGAGGCAGCAGUGGGGAAUAUUGCACAAUGGGCGCAAGCCUGAUGCAGCCAUGCCGCGUGUAUGAAGAAGGCCUUCGGGUUGUAAAGUACUUUCAGCGGGGAGGAAGGGAGUAAAGUUAAUACCUUUACUCAUUGACGUUACCCGCAGAAGAAGCACCGGCUAACUCCGUG